rnacentral:rRNA from 1 species
AUUGAACGCUGGCGGCAGGCCUAACACAUGCAAGUCGAGCGGAUGAAGGGAGCUUGCUCCUGGAUUCAGCGGCGGACGGGGGAGUAAUGCAUAGGAAUAUGCCUGGUAGUGGGGGAUAACGUCCGGAAACGGGCGCUAAUACCGCAUACGUCCUGAGGGAGAAAGUGGGGGAUCUUCGGACAUCACGCUAUCAGAUGAGCCUAGGUCGGAUUAGCUAGUUGGUGGGGUAAAGGCCUACCAAGGCGACGAUCCGUAACUGGUCUGAGAGGAUGAUCAGUCACACUGGAACUGAGACACGGUCCAUACUCCUACGGGAGGCAGCAGUGGGGAAUAUUGGACAGUGGGCGAAAGCCUGAUCCAGCCAUGCCGCGUGUGUUAAGAAGGUCUUCGGAUUGUAAAGCACUUUAAGUUGUGAGGAAGGGCAGUAAGUUAAUACCUUGCUGUUUUGACGUUACCAACAGAAUAAGCACCGGCUAACUUCGUG